CUCUCCCUGUUCGUGCUGCACGGCUCAGGCUCCGCCAAGCCAGGUGCAGCCACCACACCCCGCGUCAGCGUGCCGGGCACACCGGGCACACCGGGCACGCCGGGCACACCGGGCACACCGGGCACACCGGGCACACCGGGCUGUCACCGCUGCGCUCGCCACGGAGAGCAGCCGGAGACACCGCACGUGUUUCAGCGGCAGUCCGGUGGGACGCCUCGCUACCCCAGCUGUCGUAGCUACUGCGGAUCCGGGCGAGCAGCGCUAAGCCUGCGGCGGCGACGUUUGUGGAAACGAGGCGGAAGGAGCGCGGGGCAGGCACGGCGGCGGGACAGGGGGGCUGAGCGGUCCCCCGCGGCGUGUCUCCGCCAGCUCCCCGUUACGGCCAGCUCGCGUGGCUGCGGCCCCGCUCCGCACACACCUGCAGCUCGUGGUUACGGAGGGCUGCCGGGGGAGGGAGCUGGGAGGUCUGCCCGCACGCCCCGCUCCGCCGGGAGCAGCAUUCCGCCCGACUUCAGCGGCCCUCGGCUGCAGCCCCAGGGCAGCUCCGGCGCUGCCGUGCCGACCUCCCCCUCCCGGCUCAGACCUGCGGCUGAUUUCCUGAGGGCUUCCAGCAGCGCCUUCGCGGCACGACCGUGCAGACGGGGAGCUGCUGCCCCCUCGGCCGGCUCUGCUCCCCCCGGGGGCUCCGACCCCCGGACCGCCGCGCCCCCCCCCCAGGGGCUCAAGCUUCGCCCCUCAGCCCCCGCCCGGGGCACAACCGCGUCCCGCCGCGCCCCCUGGCGGCCCCUCGGGGCGUCGCCCCCCGGCUCCGGGGUCCCCCCGCGGCGGCGGGCAGCUCGGCGGGGCGCUUACCUUCCGCUGCAUGCCGGGCAGGCGGCGCCGGGCGCUGCCCNNNNNNNNNNNNNNNNNNNNNNNNNCCGCCCGGCCCCUUCCCGCCCGGCCGGCAGCCACAGCCCUCCCCGGGCACCGCGGGGGGAGCCCCGAGCCUCCCGGGGUCCCCUCAGCCCCCCCCACCACCACCACCCGGGGUCCCUUCAGCCCCUGGGCGCCCCGCGGUCCCGGCUGCGUGGUUUGGGCCUCAGGAGGCAGCCGCUGAGGGGGGGCUUCGCCGGGCGGGGGUGGGCUGAGGGCUUCGUUCUGCUGGCAGGAUCCUGGUGCUGGUCCGGCAACAAAACGAGUCUCACCCAAAGCAAACUACACCUGUUCCAGCAGCAGUUCACUCUCCCUGCAAGCUGUAGUACGCUGUCGGAGUUACAAGCUGUUCUCGAGCUAAAAUAG
rnacentral:lncRNA from 1 species